rnacentral:rRNA from 1 species
AGAGUUUGAUCCUGGCUCAGGACGAACUUUGGCGGCGUGCCUAAUACAUGCAAGUAGAACGCUGAAGACUUUAGCUUGCUAAAGUUGGAAGAGUUGCGAACGGGUGAGUAACGCGUAGGUAACCUGCCUACUAGCGGGGGAUAACUAUUGGAAACGAUAGCUAAUACCGCAUAACAGCAUUUAACACAUGUUAGAUGCUUGAAAGAAGCAAUUGCUUCACUAGUAGAUGGACCUGCGUUGUAUUAGCUAGUUGGUGAGGUAAAGGCUCACCAAGGCGACGAUACAUAGCCGACCUGAGAGGGUGAUCGGCCACACUGGGACUGAGACACGGCCCAGACUCCUACGGGAGGCAGCAGUAGGGAAUCUUCGGCAAUGGGGGCAACCCUGACCGAGCAACGCCGCGUGAGUGAAGAAGGUUUUCGGAUCGUAAAGCUCUGUUGUAAGAGAAGAACGUGUGUGAGAGUGGAAAGUUCACACAGUGACGGUAACUUACCAGAAAGGGACGGCUAACUACGUGCCAGCAGCCGCGGUAAUACGUAGGUCCCGAGCGUUGUCCGGAUUUAUUGGGCGUAAAGCGAGCGCAGGCGGUUUAAUAAGUCUGAAGUUAAAGGCAGUGGCUUAACCAUUGUUCGCUUUGGAAACUGUUAGACUUGAGUGCAGAAGGGGAGAGUGGAAUUCCAUGUGUAGCGGUGAAAUGCGUAGAUAUAUGGAGGAACACCGGUGGCGAAAGCGGCUCUCUGGUCUGUAACUGACGCUGAGGCUCGAAAGCGUGGGGAGCAAACAGGAUUAGAUACCCUGGUAGUCCACACUGUAAACGAUGAUUGCUAGGUGUGGGGGGUCUGACCCCUUCCGUGCCGGAGUUAACGCAAUAAGCAAUCCACCUGGGGAGUACGACCGCAAGGUUGAAACUCAAAGGAAUUGACGGGGGCCCGCACAAGCAGUGGAUUAUGUGGUUUAAUUCGAAGCAACGCGAAGAACCUUACCUAGUCUUGACAUCCCAACGAAUACAGGGUAAUGCCUGUAGUCUUCGGACGUUGGUGACAGGUGGUGCAUGGUUGUCGUCAGCUCGUGUCGUGAGAUGUUGGGUUAAGUCCCGCAACGAGCGCAACCCUUGUCCUUAGUAGCCAGCAGGUAAAGCUGGGCACUCUAGGGAGACUGCCAGGGAUAACCUGGAGGAGGGUGGGGAUGACGUCAAAUCAUCAUGCCCCUUAUGACUAGGGCUACACACGUGCUACAAUGGCGUAAACAAAGGGAAGCGAAGUGGUGACAUGGAGCGAAUCCCAAAAAUAACGUCCCAGUUCGGAUUGUAGUCUGCAACUCGACUACAUGAAGCUGGAAUCGCUAGUAAUCGCAGAUCAGAACGCUGCGGUGAAUACGUUCCCGGGUCUUGCACGCAACGCCCGUCA